GCCCCUGCGCAACGAGACCGGGAGAAGCCGGCUGCAAGGGCUGGGCUGGCCAAGGCUGGGGCAGUUACAAAGGGUGGGAGCGCAGCGAGCGGAGAAAUACCCCUGAGUCAGCACUGGUGCAUUGGGAGGUGUCCCAGAGAGCCUGGCCCACAGCAUGGACAGGGUGUCCGAAACGUACGCCGCUCUGUGUCACCCUCUAGUCAUGCACCCCCAUCUAAUUCUGAAACCAGCUCUAGCCUCAUUUUUUCCCCUCCGAUGAUGGACUGUAAUGCACCCUGCUCUGAGGCCUCGGGGGAAUGGAAAGACAGAAUUCUCUUUCAAGCCCAACCCAGGCCCGGGGAACCCCCUAGAUGUUACUGUGGGGUCACAGACAAGGCCGUGGGGAUUUGACACGUGGGCAGGGACAAGGGCAACCCCAAAGCUAGUGGAUCUGACAUGGGGGUGACUGGGUGGUGUGGUGGGCAUCAUUUCAUUCACCGCAGUGGAUUUGCUGCCUGGGAAAUGCAGCCCCCACCGUCCCAGGUCUGCUCUUGUCUUACUAGCUACUUCCUAGUAAGACAGCUUCCCUGUUCUGCUGCCUGAGAGAUGAAGGUGUCCCAGGCUAAGAUCCCUCCAUCACCUGCCCAUCCCUGAGGGUCUCAUGUCACCUCGGCGGCUGCACCUCCUCUUCCCAAACACCCUGUGGUGGCUUUGGUCCAGACAGUGGCUGCCUGAGGGAAGGAGGCCUCCGGCCAUAUGAAGACUGUAGAGGCCAGGGCAGCCAUCCCUUGUUCAUUUCAUCCCGCGUAUUUCCUUUCACAAGCCCCACUGGAGUCAUCUGUUCUUCCCCGGGACCCAUUUGUGAAGUUCCUGUCUCCCUUGACCUCCCCGUAGGGAACCAGAGACUAGUGGGCAGGGACAGAGUGCUGGGGGCCAACAGUGGCAUUUGCUCUGCAGCCCUUACCAGCAGGCCUCUCCCUUGGCUAAUUCCAGGCAGGAAGGACACUCGUUUGUCAUCCAGGCUGGGAAGGGAGACACCAGAAGAGAAAAGUGUGUCUGGGCAAGGCAGGUCUGUUCUCUCCCUCUCCAGGGUGGAGAGGUCACAGACACCUCCGUCCCAUGGAUGAGGGCAAACUAAAAGUCCAGAGACAAACAGCUGGUUCUCGCAGCUUCCAGGGUUGGGAGUCAGGGGCUGGGGUGGGUUACGGUUCAGCCUGCUGCACAGGUGAGUCUCCAUCCUUAGCAUCCUACCAUGCUGACUUCAAAAGACUCUGGUGCGUGGGACCCCAAUGACUCGUUUCGGUGUGCUGGGCUCAAAAUCAUUCGUGGCCAAGCACAUUAGUCUGGAAAAUUUAAGUUGCUGCAGAUUGAUGGACAGGAGAGAUGGUUUUCAAUGUACAGGGAAUGUAUUUUAAAAUGGAGCAAGAGACAGGGCUACAAGGAGGGAACGGGCACUUCGAAAGCAGCCAGUAGAAAGUCGCUCCUGAUUCUGAGGGAGGGAAUUGUGUUCAGCCUGCAGAGUGCUUUUCUAGUCGAGGCGAUGAUUUGGUCUAAGACUUCAUAAAACAUUUGUCUAUGAGCCCAAAUUUCCCCAAAUGACUGCGGUGUUUGGUAUGAGCACUUUGCAUGCCCCAGGGAGCUUCAAUGCCAGCAGCUUCCUGCCAUGGUACAGGCAGGUUCUCUAAGCACGAGCUUUCAAUUCAGGUUCCUGUCUAUAGUGAGAACCAGAACACAAUGCAGGGACCCACAGGGGUCAUGUGGCUCCACCAGCCUCAGGCGUUCCCAAGAGCCCAGUUGCUGUUUCAGGGGUUUGCCUGGAUAAUUUAUAUCUGAGAGGUUUGCUGCACAUCCUCUGAGUGAUUUAUGGUGAGAUCUAAAAUUUCUUUGUAAAAAGAUACCCUUUUGCUUUGGGAGGGAUCACAAGGAGCUCAGCCCUCCAGUGCCCAGGACCACCUGGGCAGAUGCCACUGUUGGCACUGUAUAAUGUUGCCCCCCAUGCAGACCUGAUCUGAGCUCUGCGUGUCAGGGAAUGCCACUCCAGCAGUGCCAGCCUGGGAGCUCCUCCAGCUGGCACCUACUGAAGCAGCAAAUGACUUUGGGGAGGCCCUUUGGCUGGGUGCAUAGGAGUCUGGGUCCCAGAGACCAUAGCUCACAUGUCUCAGGCUGCUUAUGUACUUCCCCAGAAAGAGCCACUGGCCCAAGUGUGCUUCCUGCUGCUUUUGUGCAGUCCCAUCUAAACGAGCCCCUUAUGGAGCCCCCUCCCCUUCUGCCUGGCACCCAAUGCUCCCAUCGUUCAACACCUGCUACCAACACAGAAGAGGUCCAUCCCCUUCUUAAAUGCUACAGCCUCUGCCCUGGCAGCCACUAAUCAUUCUAUUUCGAGUUUCCCUCCAGAGCUCGUCUCAGUAAAUCCGGAAGAAGAAAACCUCCAUCCCCAGUGAACAAGACCAUGAAGGCUGCAUCAGUAUUCCCAGAUUUCAAGCCAAGCUGGAGAAAGAUCACAACAGAGACCAGACCCGCAUUCUCCAGCCCAAUUCCACAUGGCUGAGAGAGCCAGCUAACCAGACACAAACACACGCGGCAGGAUGGCACGCGACCGAGGCAAGGACUAAGCCUCAGCUCAUCAGUAAGUCUGCGGGGUCUCCGCCCCCAGCAUGUGGGAGAGGAAAACUAGCCCAAAGUCAACGUCCUGAUUGUGCUUUGGAUUUGCCCAGGGCUGAGCACUCCCUGGUCUGAGGUACCCAACAAGCUGACCCGAGAAUGGGCAGCAUCCCCUUCCCUCCCUCCUUCCCUCCUCCCUUCCUUCCUCUUCCUCCUCCUCCUCCUUUUCCUCCUCCUCCUCCUCCUCCUCUUCCUCCUCCUCCUCCUCCAGCUGACUCCUGCUGCUGCCUCUGCCGCUGCUGCCUCUGCCGCUGCUGCCUCUGCCGCUGCUGCGGUCUGCAGUCACUUGAAGGAGAAAGAUUUCGCAGUACGGCAUUCUUAAAGCUGCAGUGUCCAAAUUCUCCUUCAAACCCCACUGUCACCGACAUCAGCCAACUUACCGGGGUCCUUCGCAGAGGUGCUGUGCCGGUAAGCCAUCGGGGAAGGACCUGGAUGGAGUUCUUAGUGCCCAGAGUUUCUGCAAAGUGCAGGCAGAGGACUCCAGCUUCUUAGAGGAGAAAGCUUUUUAAAACCCAAAGGAAAGGGGAUCUUUCUGCUGGCUAUCCAAGGAGCGUGUCAAUGAGCUGAUCUAGCAUCCAGAAACCAACACACCCCUCCCUGAAAGUUACCUCUCUCCUCUGCUCAGCCGCUGCCGUCCUGCCUGGAAGCUGGCAAGUUCAGACUGCUUCAGGAGAGGCAGGACCCGAAAUAAGAAGUGUCAGCUGGGUCCCUGCACCCAAAUGGUGCCGGGAGUCAACGCUGCAGGCGGCAGGGAUGGUCUCCCCCACCACACACCCGCCCCCCGCCGGUUGAAUUUAAACCCCUGACACUGCAAGAUGCUCACUCCUAUACAGACACCUCUCUGCGGAGCCUCCUCCCUCCCCCUCGCUCUCACACAACUAGGUCCAAGGCUUUGCCCCACCUCCCAGAUUUGUUCACCUGAAGAUGCUUUUCUUGCAAAACAAAACAAAACAAAAACAAAAACAGAAGAUUGAGACUCUGCAGAGUCUUUAAUCCUUAAUUCUGGAGAAGGCGGGACUUGUUCAGAAGUUUGAGAAUUGCAGCCUGAUGCCCAGGAAGGAGCAGAGGUGAUGAGCCGACAGUCUGCUUUGCACCAGACAAGUCGACACCGUUGCUUUAUCAAGAAGGGCAGAGGUAGACCCGGGGUGAAGAGAAGAGGAAAAUUCCUCUCCAACCACUGGCAAAUUCUCAACAGUUUGGGAAAUCUCUGUUUUUGUUUUCCUUCAAGAAAACUCCAUUUAAAAAAUUUUCAUGCACAUGAAAUGUACAAGAUUGCCACUAAGUGUCAAUUUUGUCCUGACACGUCUGUGAUUCUUAAAAUUCCCGUUCCUGCUUCUGUGAAAGUUAAUAUUCUUUAAGAUUGAGGUAGGGAUUUAAUUGAGAAAAUUCCAGGAGAGAGAAGCACUUUAAAUGCAGAUAUGGUUAAGACAGUGCAUUCUAAUAUAAUCCACAAGGGGUUAGGCAGAAUAGAUAUACUGAGAGGUAGAAGGUGGUCAGGGAUGUAGGUAUUUCCAGGUUUUGAGUUUAUCACAAACUCAGAGCCCAAGAAAGGAAAAUAAAGGAGGAAGUGUGUGUGUGUGUGUGUGUGUGUGUGUGUGUGUGUGUGUUUGAGCGGGGAGACUAAAACUCCCUUUCUAAAUAAACUGUUCAGAAAGACCAAUUGCA